ACAGCAGUAGCCACGGUAAUACGUAGGGUGCAAGCGUUAAUCGGAAUUACUGGGCGUAAAGCGUGCGCAGGCGGUUAUAUAAGACAGAUGUGAAAUCCCCGGGCUCAACCUGGGAACUGCAUUUGUGACUGUAUAGCUAGAGUACGGCAGAGGGGGAUGGAAUUCCGCGUGUAGCAGUGAAAUGCGUAGAUAUGCGGAGGAACACCGAUGGCGAAGGCAAUCCCCUGGGCCUGUACUGACGCUCAUGCACGAAAGCGUGGGGAGCAAACAGGAUUAGAGACCCCUGUAGUCCCUGUCUCUUAUAC
rnacentral:rRNA from 1 species